AGACUGUGGGAUUGUGUUCUACGCUGGGCUGCCCUGUAUUUUCAUCCUUCUCCUGAUCCAGCUGUUGAUCUUGCUCUGGAGAAAGUGCUCUGUCAGAGGGAGAGCUGUGCAAAGACAGAAGGAAAUACCUAUGAGGCAGAUCCCACAGACUGAAUAUGCGGCUCUGACGUACAACAACAGAAAUGCUCCUCGG